UAGGGAAUCUUCGGCAAUGGGGGGAACCCUGACCGAGCAACGCCGCGUGAGUGAAGAAGGUUUUCGGAUCGUAAAGCUCUGUUGUUAAGGAAGAACGAGUGUGAGAAUGGAAAGUUCAUGCUGUGACGGUACUUAACCAGAAAGGGACGGCUAACUACGUGCCAGCAGCCGCGGUAAUACGUAGGUCCCGAGCGUUGUCCGGAUUUAUUGGGCGUAAAGCGAGCGCAGGCGGUUAGAAAAGUCUGAAGUGAAAGGCAGUGGCUCAACCAUUGUAGGCUUUGGAAACUGUUUAACUUGAGUGCAGAAGGGGGGAGUGGAAUUCCAUCUGUAGCGGUGAAAUGCGUAGAUAUAUGGAGGAACACCGGUGGCGAAAGCGGCUCUCUGGUCUGUAACUGACGCUGAGGCUCGAAAGCGUGGGGAGCGAACAGG
rnacentral:rRNA from 1 species